rnacentral:rRNA from 1 species
UAGGGAAUCUUCCACAAUGGACGAAAGUCUGGUGGAGCGACGCCGCGUGAGUGAAGAAGGGUUUCGGCUCGUAAAACUCUGUUGUUAAAGAAGAACAUAUCUGAGAGUAACUGUUCAGGUAUUGACGGUAUUUAACCAGAAAGCCACGGCUAAAUACGUGCUAG